UAAAAUAUAAUGCAGCAGAGGAAGAAAAGGCUGAGAGAGUCAGGAUCCCUCCACUGCCAUGCCGCCCUAGUAGCUAAGUAGCCAUGGCUCUAUAUCUAUCUAUCAUUUUUCUGACCCCAAUAGCUAACCAAGACAACUCAUCAUGCAUGUUCCCUUUCAAUACUUUCUUAGCUGUGCUGUGCUCUCUCUUCAUUUCACUGUGCAUCUUUUAAUUCACUGUUACACAAGAUGGGUUAUGUCUCUCAACACCUUCCCCCAACCUUUUCUCCUUUACAUUUUUCAGUUUUCACUUUUUCCAUAUAUACUCUACUGCACCACCAUGUGGUUUUUGACAUUACUGAGUUUAGUUUAGUUUUUUCCUGUCUAGCCCUUAGUUUAUGUCCCUUUGUGUGUCUAUAUUUCUUCCAGCUAUUCAUCUCUUUGUUUUCUGCAUUACAAGUUUGGAAUGAAACCAAUCUUGUCCUUUCACCCUCUCUUGGGUUUUCCUUCCCCUCCUCUUAAUUCUCCUCCAUAGCUUAUUUUAACUGCAUGGCUCAAGGUGUUUGUACUGCAGUACUACAGUGCAUUUUCAAAUGCUCAAAGUGUUUGAUCUACAUUCCUCAGUUUGUCUUUUGUGGUUUCCAUGUGUUUCUUUUUUGUGUACAACUAUAUGUAAGUGGUGAACUCGGAGAUUACAAUGUUUUUGUGGUGAAAAAAGGGUCACAAGGGAAAAAGUGAAGCUGCCAGCAUGAUCUAGCUUUGGUUAGUGGGAGCCAGAGAGUGCUAACCCUCACUAGGUCAUGCUGUGCUAGCCUCACUCCUUCCUAUUUGGAGACCGAUAUAUUCCUAUCAAAAUCUCAGACCUAAACAAUUACACAAACCUAGCUAUCUACCUAAAAGUAAAAGGUGAGUAUGUCUGUAAAGCACUUAUUUCACCGUGUUUGGAAGUACAAGAUGAAAUGUGUGUAGCUGUUUGAAGUACCCCAAAACAUGGAGCUGGAGAUCUGCACAAGCUUUAGAUAUUAGCAAGGGUGGCGGUUGUAUUGCGGUUUCAUUGUGCUUUUUGAUAUCGCUGGAAAUCACAGAAAAAAUUGAUUCCAAUUGCGGUCGCCAACAGUUAAAACCUUGUAUAUUAGCUAGGGACUUGACACUAGAGGAUGUUCUUUUCGUAACGGUUUUGUUGUGCUUAUAAACAAUGUCAACUGCGUUUAGCAGCUUCAUGACAUCCUUGAACAUCUGAAAGUAUAACUGCAUAAAUAGUAUUGUUUUGUAAUAAUAGAGAAUAGAACUUGCAUGUUGAUUUGCAAUUUAGAUUUACAUUCAUGGCUUUUA